rnacentral:ncRNA from 2 species
GGUUCUUCCGGACCGUGGUGAACUGCCGGAGCCAAUACGGGCGGCAGGAGAGGAAGCCGGUGCGAUUCCGGCGCGGUCCCGCCACUGUCACCGGGGUGAACCACCCCGGGAGCCAGGAACUCUCGCCGCCGGUCUCGUCGAA